rnacentral:SRP_RNA from 1 species
UUUGGGCACCGGUUGGCAGGUAAUUACCCAACUCCGUCAGGUCCGGAAGGAAGCAGCGGUAAGUAAGAGUCUGUGCAGCCGACUGCCCUUUUUA